GAAAGAGUCACAUGUCUACCACUUUAAAUCAAAAGCUAGAAAUAAUUAAGCUUAGUGAGGGGAAGGCAUGUUGAAAGCUGAGAUAGGCUAAAGUCUGGGCCUCUUGUGAAGAACAGUUAGUCAAGUUCUGAAUGCAAAGGAAAAGUUCUUGAAGGGAGUUAAACGCACUUCUCCAGUGAACAUACGAAUAAUAAGAAAGCAAAAGAGACAUUGCUGAGAUGAAGAAAGGUAGAGCGGUCUCGAUAGAAGAUAAAACCAGCCACAACACUCCCUUCAGCUAAAGCCUAAUCCAGAGCAAGGCUCUUUUUAUUCUAUGAAGGCUGAGAGAGGUAAAGAAGCUGCAGAAAAAAAGUCUGAAGCUAACGGAGUUUGGUUCUUGAGGCUUGUGGAAAGACACAUCUCCAUGAGUUCAAGAUGACGCAGCAAGUACCAUAUGAAAGCGAUAGCAAGUUAUCCAGAAGAUCUAGCUGAGAUCAUUAAUGAGCAUGGCUACACUGAAUGACAGAUUUUCAAUGUAGAUGAAACAGCCUUCUUUUGGAGGAAGAUGAUGCCAUCUGGGACUUUCACAGUUAGAAAGGAGAAGUUAACACCUGGCUUCAAUGAACAGGCUGACUCUUGUUAGUGGCUAAUGUAGCUGUUAACUUUAAGUUGAAGCCAAUGCUCACUUACUAUUCUGAAAAUCCUAGGGCUCUUAAGAAGUAUGCAAUGUCUACUCUGCUCAUGCUCUAUAAAUGGAUCAAUGAAGCCUGGUUGACCACACAUUUGUUUAUAGCAUGAUUUACUGAAUAUUUUAAGCUUCUUGUUGAGACUUCUCAGAAAAUUUUUUUUUUCUUUUCAAAAGAUUACUGCUCAUUGACAAAUUCACCUGGUCACUCAAGAACUCUGAUGGGGAGGUAUAGGUAUGUGAAUGUUGUUUUUAUGCCUGCAAACAUGACAUUCAUUCUGCAACCCAUGAAUCAAGGAAUAAUUUUAACUUUCAAGUCUUAUUAUUUAAGAAGCAAAUUUUGUGAAGCUAUAGGUGCUAUAGAUAUUGUUUCCUUCUGGAAAGGAUUCAGCAUUCUAGAUGUUGUUAAGAACAUUUGUGGUUCAUGGCAGGAGGUCCAAAUAUUGACAUUAGCAGGAGUUUGGAAGAAAUUGGUUUUAACCUUUAUGGAUGACUUUGAGGAGUUUGAAACUUCAGUGGAGAAAGCCACUGCAGAUAUGAUGAAAAUAGAACUAUAAUUAAAAAUGCAGCCUAAAAAUGUGACUGAAUUACCAUAAUCUCAUAAUAAAAUCCGAAUGGACAAAGAAUUUAUUCUAGUAGAUAAGCAAAUAAACUGAUUUUCUGAGAUGGAAAAUACUCCUGGUGAGGAUGCGAUGAACUUUGUUGAUAUGACAACCAAGGAUUGAGAGUAUUACAUGAACUUAGUUGAGGAAGUAGCAGCAGCGGUUGAGAGGAUUGACUCCAAUUUUGAAAGGAAUGCUACUGUGGGUAAGAUACUAUCAAACAGCAUUGCAUACUGCAGAGAAAUCUUUCAUGAAAGAAAGCAAUCAAGUUGGCAAAUUUCCUUGCUAUCUUUUUUUAAUUUUUAUUUUUGAGACCCAGUAGCCAGAUGUAGCUACUAAUUACAAAAGACAGGAUCUACAUUGGCUACUGAGCCUUCCUUGCUGUCUGAAUGUAAGAAAUUGCCACAGUCACCCCAGCCGUUAGCAACUACCACCCUGAUUAGUCAGCAGCCAACCACAUUGAGGCCAGACCCUUCAACCAGCAAAGAUUGCGACUCGCUGAAGGCUCAGUAGGAUUUCCAGCUCCUAGAAGCCAGAGAUCAUGUUACUCAUUCUUUUGCAUCCUUCCCAGGGUCUAGUGGAGCACUGAGCAUCAUAUAGGGUGAUGAUGCAAUUAUCAAUACUUAAUGAAGAGGAGAAGGGCUACAUUCAAGCUGGAUUUAUAUACAUUCAUAACAAGGAAACCUAUUAAUUGGCUGGGCCAAAGGGAAGGAAGGAUAACUUUCUUCAGGUCUGAAGAGCCAGGCAAUCCAUCUGGGAAGCCCUCCUGAGCAGGCUUGAUGAGGUAAUUUAGGUUGACCUUGUUCGGCGGGCAAUGCCGUCUGUUCUGUGGUAGCACUAGUUGGUGUGGUAGCACCAGUUGGGCCAUAGGUGAUGUUUCCCCUCUUAAAAUAUAAACAAAGCAUUAUCUCUGUGUGCUUUGCAAACAUCAUAUGCAGUAGAAUAUUCAUUCUGCUUACAACAGGAACUUUUUGAGGACCUGAAGUGGAAAAUUUGGCCACAUGGUAAUUAUUGCCAACCAAGGAACCCUGCCAAGCUUUAGAGGAUACCAAUGUUACAGGCCAGGCAGAAGACCCUGUACAAAAGUAAAUCUUCAAGCCCUCAUUCUGAAGGAAGCAAGCUGGCAUGUCAUGAGUCCUAUGAAGAGGCUCAUGCCGAAAAGAGCUGAUGUCUCUGGUCAACAGCCAUAUGAUUGGGCCUAUAAGUGGAGGCUUCCCCAGGUGAGCCUUGAGAUGGCUGCAGACCUGGCCAACACCUUGAUACAUGAUAUUGUGGCCUCAUGGGAGACCCUGAGUCAAAGGCACCAAGCCAAGCUGUGUGUGGUUUCCUGACCCACAAUAAACUAUGAGGUAAUAAAUGUUGGUGGUUUUCAGCCACCAUGUUUUGGGGGGUAUUUUAUUACACAGCAAUAGAUAACCAAUGUAGUUAAAUUACUCCUUGGACUAAAUUCAUUAAUUAUAAAAACCUCCUUCUAACUGUAUAACCCCUGAAAAACAUUGAUAGUUUGUUGAGACAUAUAAUCCUUCAAUUUCAACCUUAUUUCAAAUGGCCAUAUCCUCUAAAACUAAGUUACUUUCCUCAAAUAAAUAUUUGAGUUACUUAGCCAUUAAGAAGUAGAAACAUGUUGAUAGUCUUUUUACUGUUAUAUGAGUGAGCAUUACAUUCAGAUCCGUGAGUACUAUACUUACUUAGACAUUUAUUAUCUUUGUGGAACUAUGCCCACACAUUCAGAUAUAGUCCCAUGCAGAGCACUGUGGUGAAACUUGUGAUCAGUGGUAUCAGACAGCCUGGAUGUGAUGCUAACUUAGCUGUUUAUUAUAAAUAACUUAAAACAUUUGGGCAAGCCACUUGUCUGGCAUUAGUUUUGUCAUUUAUAAGGGAAAGGGAAUAGGUUGUAAAAAUAAAUGAGAUAUAUAAAGAGUAGUCCGUACAGGAGAUGAGAUCCAUGUUCAGAUAAUAAACGAGUAAUCUACAAUUUCACUUUUCAUAGAGUUUGCUCAAGGAAGUUCCUUUUUCCCUGGUCGUUUCACAUAUGUAAUGUCCUCUGUUUGAAUGACGUUAGUGCAUUUAUGUUUUCAUGGAUUAAGCAGACAACCUAUCAACACCAGUGCUCCUUUACAAUUUUUAAAAAAUGUUAUCACAGUUAUGCAUGCACAUAGCUUAGAAUUGUACUGUUGAAUAAGGUAGUCCUAGACUUAUGUAGGUACUGAGUGCUUGAAAUGUGGCUAAUCCUAAUUGAGAUGUGUUGCAAGUAUAAAAUACACCCUGGAUUUCAGAUUUAGUAUAAGAAAAUGUAAAAUAUAUCUUUAGUAAUGAUUACUUUUGAAAAUGAUGGUGUAUUCGCUUAAACUAUAUUAAAUAAAAUAUAUGGAUAUGUUUGGUUAAAUAAAAUAUAUUAAAAUUAA